GCCCUGGGGUUUGUCUCCAGCACUGCAAACAAGGGCAAAGACCAUCUCGCUAAUUAAUGCUCCUCAUUUCAAAAAUCUGAAGUAAAACACUAACACAAUUCAGCUGGCUCUAAUGAGGACAUGAGAAGUGGGUUUGUCCUGGAAAUGGAUCCACGGUUCUGCAGAGGAAAAUAGAUUAAUGUAAUCUAUCACAUGGCACAACGAGAAGCAAAGGCAAUACAUAAAACUCAACACUGGUUCAUAAUAAAAUCACGCAUGCUGGUAAUGAGGGAAAUGGGAUGCCGAUGCUAAGCCAAUGAUAAACAUCAUAACUAACCACGCAGGCGCAGAAGCAGUCCCAUAAAAAUGGACAUGUGUUUCUUGCCUCUGUUCUGCAGGUAGAAAACCCGGGGCUGAGAUGAUGAAAGCCACAGACGAGAGGGAUGUGCACAGGAGACCAGGAACUCAAAUAGCGCUCAAGCAGAGGAGACCUGAUUGCUCAUUCUCCUCCCCAACCUUAGAAGACCAGCAUACCAAAAAUUACUGGCAUCCCCCACCAGCAACUGGGAACUGCAGAAGUUAAAAUCAUUAUGGGGUACCCUGGCACAUCUAGGAGGUGGUAUGCAUGCUACUUACUUUUUGAAUGUAUUAUCCACUACUGUAAAACAUGAGAGAAAGCCUACAUAAGUGGAGAUUCCAUGUUUACAUAACAUGUUCCCACCAACACCAGUGUGCUACAUCAAUAUGUUUCUCACUUAAAUGCCAGGGAGUCUCUGAAACUUGGUACAUUCCCAGAAGUUCAAGUCAGGUAGCAAAGAGCCUAGAACAGCUAAGAAAAAUGUUUGUAAAGCAGACAAAUGGAAGAGCUUGAAGCUCAACUCCAUAGGCUGUUGCCAAAAACGUAACUUUUCCUCAACUGGAAAAGCCAUGCCUUCCUUCAUGCUCUCACCUAGGCACACAUGUUUCUAAUUCUAUUCAGGGUCAAACCCUGCUCUCCAAUUUGAGAGCAGAACAGUAUUAACCCAACACAAUGGUGAUUGGUUGUGGCUUCCCUUCCAGUGGGUGGCACAUGAGAUAACAAGAUAUACUGCAAUCGUGGAUAGCUAUUGGGAGCCAACUGUCAGGAGGAAAAAUCAAGUGAGUAGGAGAGUUGCAUUUCAGAGAAGAGGAGUGAAGAAGGCUCUUUGGCCAAGGAAAAGAAGCUUGAGUGAGGUGCAGAGAGCUACACAGCCUUCCCAGGUAACAGAAGCGACAAGGAGGAGGAACAGGAUGGGAAGCAGAAUGGGAGGGAUUGUAUUUGCUUCUGAAACACAGUGAGCAGAAGUCUCAUCAGCAGGAGGAAACAGGUAAACAAAGCAGCCAGCAGCCCUGCUGUGGCCAGUCUUGUUGACAUGGAUCACAAAUGUCACUGCAACUAUAUGCCCCAAAGAACACACCAACUGAAUGCAUAAAGACUUAACCCUGCUGUGAUGUAACCAGGAAACUGAAGUAGAAGAGAUGGAGGAGAGGUAGCCUGGCAUCCUCCAGGAUGAGGUAGACACCUCUUGGGAAAGUCUGUGUUAUGACUGUGUAGCCAGAACAGCCAGGGUGCAUUCUGGGUUGUCAGGUCCAGAUGUCAUGACCAGAAACUCUGAGCUCCUGUAAGCUAAGCAGCCGGGGAGGUGCUCUGUGUAGGACUAAGUGGAUCUUUUACGUGACCAAGGGGAAAUGAGGGACACCUACUAAAAGGUGCUGAGACUGUCCCCAUAUCAAAAUAAGUCAGAAUCACACCUCAGACUUCAGGACCUCAAGCUCCUAGACUGUUCAAAAUGUCAUGAAAAAAGUAAAACUGAUAUAACAUUUUAGAGAAAAAAUAAGGAAUAAUUAUUGUUUGGGAAUUAUUUAAAUGUAGGAACUAAUUGCUUAAAUGAAAAGCACAACACAACUCAAAAAUUUAAAAAAUGAGUCGAGAGUGAUGGCGCACGCCUUUAAUCCCCGAGCUCAGGAGGCAGAGGAGGUAGAUCCCAGUGAGCUUGAGACCAGCACGGUCUACAAAGCAAGUUCCAGGACAGUAGAGCUGUUAUACACAGAAAACCCCGUUGAAAGAGAGAGAGAGAGAGAGAGAGAGAGAGAGAGAGAGAGAGAGAGUAGGAAGGAAGAAAGAGAGAAAGAAAAAGAGAGAAAAAUAAAAGAAAAAAAGAAGAAAAGAAAAAGAAAGAUAAUUUAAAAAUAAAUUACUAUUUAAAAUUAAGGAGAACCUACUACUACCACUUUCCCAAAUUAGUAUAAUCCUUAACUGCAUCCUAAGUACUUACCCUCAUACCCACAGUUACCCUCAUCAAUGAAGCCCUCCUUCACACCAGCAGGAAAAGGUCACUACAGAAACACUACUGGUCAGAAUGUAGAAAAUACCCAGUGAAGAGUACCCAGUUAAUACAUCUAUGGCACAACCCUUAUAUUCUCUGUUCCUAAAAGGUCAGAGAGCAUCAAGAAGGGAACGAAAGAUGGAAAGAGCCAGAAAACCAGGAAGUCGGGACCAGACUUAGACAUAACAGGAAAACUGUUCCCAUGAAAUCUCAACAAUAUGGCUGCUGAAAGAAGACCUGGACAAUGACUCCACCAGUUGACAUGCCAACAUGGAUGGAGUCUCAGUCCCCUCCCAACCAGAUGAAGGACUAUAGGCAAUUAAAACUUGCUAGAAUUUUCCUGUGAAACAAGAACUCAUGAACAAAUUCAGAAGACAAACAUCUAGGAGAUAGCGGGCCAAAUUACCCCAGGCAACUGUGAAAGAGUUAGUGUACUGGACCUACAUAGAACCUCCCAGCCAAUCAGAAGCAAGCAUGUCUGUUAUCCAGAUAAAUGAUGUGAAAAAGCAAAGGGCAGAAAGGCAGAACACCCAGUCCUGUUUAUGACAAGCCCACAGCAGCUGUGGACAAUCAAGGAAACGCUUCAUAAAUGGCUGCCUCGUCACUCAACACCCAGCAGCUUAGCCCGAAUCAAAGGGUCUCCAACAAAAGGGGUAGCCAGGAAGUGGAGGAGCAAGAAAAUUCCCAGAUGUAGCAGGGGAUUCAGAGCCCCAGGAUUGCUGG
rnacentral:lncRNA from 1 species